rnacentral:rRNA from 2 species
AUGAAACUUUAACAGAACCCUUCGGGGCGAAGAUAAAGUGGAUUAGCGGCGGACGGGUGAGUAACACGUGAGUAACCUGCCUUAGACAUUGGGAUAGCCUCGGGAAACCGGGAUUAAUACCAAAUAAAAUCAUAAUGACACAUGUCAUAACGAUCAAAACUCCGGUGGUCUAAGAUGGACUCGCGUCCCAUUAGCUAGUUGGUAGAGUAAAAGCCUACCAAGGCGACGAUGGGUAGCCGGCCUGAGAGGGUGAACGGCCACAUUGGAACUGAGAAACGGUCCAAACUCCUACGGGAGGCAGCAGUGGGGAAUAUUGCACAAUGGAGGGAACUCUGAUGCAGCGACGCCGCGUGAACGAAGAAGGCUUUCGAGUCGUAAAGUUCUUUUAUAUGGGAAGAUAAUGACGGUACCAUAAGAAAAAGCCCCGGCUAACUACGUGCCAGCAGCCGCGGUAAUACGUAGGGGGCUAGCGUUGUCCGGAAUCACUGGGCGUAAAGGGUUCGCAGGCGGAAAUGCAAGUCAGAUGUAAAAGGCAGUAGCUUAACUACUGUAAGCAUUUGAAACUGCAUAUCUUGAGAAGAGUAGAGGUAAGUGGAAUUUUUAGUGUAGCGGUGAAAUGCGUAGAUAUUAAAAAGAAUACCGGUGGCGAAGGCGACUUACUGGGC